rnacentral:rRNA from 1 species
GAUGAACGCUGGCGGCGUGCCUAAUACAUGCAAGUCGAGCGAACAGAUGAGAAGCUUGCUUCUCUGAUGUUAGCGGCGGACGGGUGAGUAACACGUGGGUAACCUACCUAUAAGACUGGGAUAACUCCGGGAAACCGGGGCUAAUACCGGAUAAUAUACUGAACCGCAUGGUUCAAUGUUGAAAGACGGUUUCGGCUGUCACUUAUAGAUGGACCCGCGCCGUAUUAGCUAGUUGGUAGGGUAACGGCUUACCAAGGCAACGAUACGUAGCCGACCUGAGAGGGUGAUCGGCCACACUGGAAUUGAGACACGGUCCAGACUCCUACGGGAGGCAGCAGUAGGGAAUCUUCCGCAAUGGGCGAAAGCCUGACGGAGCAACGCCGCGUGAGUGAUGAAGGUCUUAGGAUCGUAAAACUCUGUUGUUAGGGAAGAACAAAUUUGUUAGUAACUGAACAAGUCUUGACGGUACCUAACCAGAAAGCCACGGCUAACUACGUGCCAGCAGCCGCGGUAAUACGUAGGUGGCAAGCGUUAUCCGGAAUUAUUGGGCGUAAAGCGCGCGUAGGCGGUUUCUUAAGUCUGAUGUGAAAGCCCACGGCUCAACCGUGGAGGGUCAUUGGAAACUGGGGAACUUGAGUGCAGAAGAGGAGAGUGGAAUUCCAUGUGUAGCGGUGAAAUGCGCAGAGAUAUGGAGGAACACCAGUGGCGAAGGCGGCUCUCUGGUCUGUAACUGACGCUGAUGCGCGAAAGCGUGGGGAUCAAACAGGAUUAGAUACCCUGGUAGUCCACGCCGUAAACGAUGAGUGCUAAGUGUUAGGGGGUUUCCCCCCCCUUAAUGCUGCAGCUAACGCAUUAAGCACUCCGCCUGGGGAGUACGCCCGCAAGGUUGAAACUCAAAGGAAUUGACGGGGACCCGCACAAGCGGUGGAGCAUGUGGUUUAAUUCGAAGCAACGCGAAGAACCUUACCAAAUCUUGACAUCCUUUGAUCGCUCUAGAGAUAGAGUUUUCCCCUUCGGGGGACAAAGUGACAGGUGGUGCAUGGUUGUCGUCAGCUCGUGUCGUGAGAUGUUGGGUUAAGUCCCGCAACGAGCGCAACCCUUAAGCUUAGUUGCCAUCAUUAAGUUGGGCACUCUAGGUUGACUGCCGGUGACAAACCGGAGGAAGGUGGGGAUGACGUCAAAUCAUCAUGCCCCUUAUGAUUUGGGCUACACACGUGCUACAAUGGAUAAUACAAAGGGCAGCGAACCCGCGAGGUCAAGCAAAUCCCAUAAAAUUAUUCUCAGUUCGGAUUGUAGUCUGCAACUCGACUACAUGAAGCUGGAAUCGCUAGUAAUCGUAGAUCAGCAUGCUACGGUGAAUACGUUCCCGGGUCUUGUACACACCGCCCGUCACACCACGAGAGUUUGUAACACCCGAAGCCGGUGGAGUAACCUUUUAUUAGGAUAAAGCCGUCGAAGGUGGGACAGAUGAUUGGGGU